AAUAGCGUAUACUAAAGUUGUUGCAGUUAAAAAGCUCGUAGUUGAAUUUCUGGUCGUGGCGACCGGUCCGCCCCUCACGGGGUGUGCACCUGGUCUCUGCGUCCAUCCUCGGGGAGAGCGCGUCUGGCAUUCAGUUGUCGGGCGCGGGAUCCUCGUCAUUUACUGUGAGCAAAAUAGAGUGUUCAAAGCAGGCUUAGGCCGUUGAAUACAUUAGCAUGGAAUAAUAAGAUAGGACCUUGGUCUAUUUUGUUGGUUUGCAUUCCAAGGUAAUGAUUAAUAGGGAUAGUUGGGGGUAUUCGUAUUCAAUUGUCAGAGGUGAAAUUCU
rnacentral:rRNA from 1 species